rnacentral:lncRNA from 1 species
GGAAGAGCUUUCUGGCCCAACCCACUUAUCUAACCAUGUGUAACGUUCUUCUUGCAAAUUCCUGUGGCUUCCUCCAACAGCCUUAGUGAGCAGACCUGCCUUUCAGAAACCUCUUAUACCCUUCUCUGAUGGUUUAGAAUGUGGUAUAUUUUUUUUUGUUACUGAGACAAUGGGGGUAUGUACAAAAGUAUGGAGGGCUGCCAAGAUGAAAUGAUGUGCUGUUAAUAAGGCCACCAAUACAAUUCCUGAAAGGGGUUGCCGAUUCUUUAAAUUAAAAACAAGACAAAGACCCCCACAGAGUCUUAGAUUUCUUCUUUGCCUUGAUAUCAUACGCCUUAGAGGGAUCGCAAACUGAGGUGAGAGAGUCAUCCCACUGCUGGAUGGCAAUAGGCAGAAGCUCUAUUUAUCACCAAAGCACAAACUCACAGCAGGCACGGCUGAGGUGUGUGCAGGCUCUGUCCCUGCCAGCCAGGGUCAGCUGAGAAGAUCAGGUCUCCCCUUAGAGCUGUAGAGAUAAUCAGGAGAUCUUUGGUCGAGUCACAGGCUCAGUACAUGCAGACCUCACUUUUAGGGAAGAGAUCUUAGCUCUUCUUACUUCACAGAGACAUCUCAAGUAACCAAAUGCCUUAAGCUGGUAUUGAUUUAUCUCUUCUUAUCCUUUUAUCGAUUGCCUGGAGGAGCACACGCUCACUGUGGAAAGGAAAUAUAAUUCUCGUUUUACAGACUGCAAACAAAGGCAGCAAAAAGGUCACUAAGACUUUGGGGUACCCAAACUCAGAUUCUUCAGCUUGCUUCACAAGACCAUAACAUAAAUAUAUGUAAUCUGGAAGUUUGGCAGUCGAAUGCUGUAACUGUGGCAGUCAGUGGAGAUUUGGAUCAUCAGGAAAAGAAACGAUGAUUUUCAGGAGCAAUCUACUUCAGAGGUCAGGUCAGUACAGUUAUUAAGGGCUACUCUCUGGGGAUGCUGACCUGCCUCCCAUGUGAAAAUAAG